GAUGAACGCUGGCGGCGUGCCUAAUACAUGCAAGUCGAGCGAACAGACGAGGAGCUUGCUCCUCUGACGUUAGCGGCGGACGGGUGAGUAACACGUGGAUAACCUACCUAUAAGACUGGGAUAACAUCGGGAAACCGGAGCUAAUACCGGAUAAUAUAUUGAACCGCAUGGUUCAAUAGUGAAAGACGGUUUUGCUGUCACUUAUAGAUGGAUCCGCGCCGCAUUAGCUAGUUGGUAAGGUAACGGCUUACCAAGGCAACGAUGCGUAGCCGACCUGAGAGGGUGAUCGGCCACACUGGAACUGAGACACGGUCCAGACUCCUACGGGAGGCAGCAGUAGGGAAUCUUCCGCAAUGGGCGAAAGCCUGACGGAGCCACGCCGCGUGAGUGAUGAAGGUCUUCGGAUCGUAAAACUCUGUUAUUAGGGAAGAACAAAUGUGUAAGUAACUCUGCACGUCUUGACGGUACCUAAUCAGAAAGCCACGGCUAACUACGUG
rnacentral:rRNA from 1 species